UACGUAAGGACCGAGCGUUGUUCGGAAUUAUUGGGCGUAAAGCGAGCGCAGGCGGUUUGACAAGUCAGAAGUAAAAGGCUGUGGCUCAACCAUAGUAGGCAUUUGAAACUGUCAAGCUUGAGUGCAGAAGGGGGGAGUGGAAUUCCAUGUGUAGCGGUGAAAUGCGUAGAUAUAUGGAGGAACACCGAUGGCGAAGGCAGCUCUCUGGUCUGUAACUGACGCUGAGGCGCGAAAGCGUGGGGAGCGAACAGG
rnacentral:rRNA from 1 species